rnacentral:rRNA from 1 species
UUUUCAGUGUCGCAGCGAAAGCAUUAAACACACCGCCUGGGGAGUACGACCGCAAGGUUAAAACUCAAAUGAAUUGACGGGGACCCGCACAAGUAGUGGAGCAUGUGGUUUAAUUCGAAGAUACGCGCAGAACCUUACCAACACUUGACAUGUUCGUCGCGACUUUAAGAGAUUAAAGUUUUCGGUUCGGCCGGACGAAACACAGGUGCUGCAUGGCUGUCGUCAGCUCGUGUCGUGAGAUGUUGGGUUAAGUCCCGCAACGAGCGCAACCCUCACUUUUAGUUGCCAUCAUUUAGUUGGGCACUCUGAAAGAACUGCCAGUGAUAAGCUGGAGGAAGGUGGGGAUGACGUCAAGUCCUCAUGGCCCUUACGUGUUGGGCUACACACGUGCUACAAUGGCAUUUACAAUAGGAAGCAAGAUGGCGACAUCAAGCAAAUCCUAAAAAAAUGCCUCAGUUCGGAUUGUACUCUGCAACUCGAGUACAUGAAGCUGGAAUUACUAGUAAUCGCGGAUCAGCGCGCCGCGGUGAAUACGUUCCCGGGUCUUGUACACACCGCCCGUCACACCAUGGGAGUUGGUUCUACCUUAAGGCAAAGCUUAAAAACUUUGACCACGGUAUAGUCAGCGACUGGGGUGAAGUCGUAACAAGGUAGCCGUAGGGGAACCUGCGGCUGGAUUACCUCCUU